rnacentral:snRNA from 1 species
AAAAUCUAUAAUCUUAACCACU